CCAGCCGAAACAAGGAUGCACUCAAGCUGCAGAACCUGAUGAGGACCUAGACUGACAUCCCAUCACUUGUCAUGUUUCCUGAUCCUCUGCAUGAUCCUCACCACUCUCAAACUCUGCAGCCUCCUCUGGACCUUGAUGAGAGCUGCAACUUCUCUGUCGGACCCUCUCCUCAAUGGGUCAUCCACUCCAUGCCAGGAAAAGCCUGCCUUGGUUCCUGACCUGAUCACCGUGGUCUGAAUGAAGAGACUAAAUUACAAAGUGUAUAAGUUAAGGAACCUACCCACCUUUACAUAUAGAGGCUAUGGAUGACUUUUGAAGCUGCAUCUUUGUGUGCAUUUGCACCUUGAAAUGGCAGUGGAGCUGUGAGAACAUUUACAACUGAGGGAGUGAGGAACAAUUAGCUCCUCCACUUCAAUGAUAAAGAGAAAGGAAACAUUUCGUUUAGUAUUCAACAUAGCACUUUUUUUUUGAGGGAGUCACAUAUCCAUUUCCAAAUUUCCAUUCUUUAUUGACACAAAAAUAAAUUGAAAUAGAGUAAUGAAUAUCCAAUCAAUAGAAUAUUCUCAUUUAUAGUCUUCUAGUAUCCUUCAUUGCCCAAGGCUACCAGUUACUAUAAUAUAUAUGUAUGUAUGUAAAAUAUAUAUAUUGAUAA